rfam:Magnetospirillum marisnigri strain SP-1 NODE_14_length_139798_cov_100.429_ID_3248, whole genome shotgun sequence.
GGGGGUGUAGCUCAGUUGGUUAGAGCGCCGGCCUGUCACGCCGGAGGUCGCGGGUUCGAGCCCCGUCACUCCCG